rnacentral:rRNA from 1 species
UGAGCAAUCUGCCCUUCUCUUCGGAAUAAGCGUUGGAAACGACGUCUAAUGCCGAAUACGACCUCCUUUCGCAUGAUCGGAGGUGGAAAGCUCCGGCGGAGAAGGAUGAGCUCGCGGCCUAUCAGCUAGUUGGCGGGGUAAUGGCCCACCAAGGCGACGAUCAGUAGCUGGUCUGAGAGGAUGACCAGCCACACGUGGGACUGAGACACCGGCCCAGACUCCGUAACGGGG